rnacentral:lncRNA from 1 species
GGAAGCAUAGAGGGCAGAGGCAGAGCUGCAAAGCCCCCUCCUCAGCUCUUCCUCUGGGCACAGCGCUGCCCAGGGUGUCAAUCAGGACUUUAUCUCGGGCCGAAGGAGAAAAUAAAAGAAGAUAAGGCCUCGCUCUCACCCUGGGAAGAAAGCUAAUGGGGCAAGAGGGGGAAAGUCUUCAGCGCCCCGUGCCUCUCCCGGAUAGUGUUCUUGUAGUGACCUUGAGCUGCUGCCGGGGUGGGCAGAAGGGCCUGAGCCGAGCGGCUGCUCCCAUCCUCUGCCCGAGGGACACCUGCGAUUUUCAGUUGUCCCCUCCUUUGCCCCAAGGCGGCCCCACCGCCGCCCGUGGAAGCCGACCCCCGGCGUCGCGCAGCCCCCGGGCCCGCUUCCUCCCUCCCUGACAUCCUUCCUAUUUUUUUUCUUUCUCAUCUUCCUCCUUGCCAAUCCCUCUCUCCUUCUUCCUUCCUUUUCUCGUUUUUCCUUUUUUUUUCCCCUCUCCCCACGUCCUCCAUCUUCCCCCCUUCUCCCGCCCCCGCCCCGCACAGCGAAAACUCAGACAAGGCUGGCAGAGCCGUCGUGAGCACAUCCUUCACCUUAACCGAACCUCACAAAUUUCGGGACCCUUUCCUAGCCCCAUUACCAACCCCACUCCCAGACUCAAUUCCCAGCCCCGUUCUCAUCC